GCCCCCGUCUCUCAGCCUGCCGCAGCUCCGGCCAGCCGACCAGCCAUGUCGCUCAGCGGAGCCUCUGAGCGCAGCGUCCCGGCCACCAAGAUUGAAAUUACCGUGUCCUGCCGGAACCUGCUGGACCUCGACACCUUCUCCAAGUCCGACCCCAUGGUGGUGCUUUACACGCAGAGCCAGGCCAGCCAAGAGUGGCGGGAGUUUGGACGGACCGAGGUGAUCGACAACACGCGGAACCCAG